rnacentral:lncRNA from 1 species
GUCUGAGUCCCUUAUAACGUUGUCAAGAGCGUUCCAUAACCCAGUAGAAUCAGGAAAAAACGAUCUUUUAAACCUUUCGGUUCUGCAGGGAUAAAGUGUCGAAUUAUCAGCAGAUCUUAGCAAUAAUCCAGAUAUUUGCUGUGAAGUUGCAACUAUAUACUGUUUACUGGUAUAGGAAAAUGAACUCACUUCAUAAUAUAAAUGAGUAAACUGAAUAAAUAUUGCAUAUAUUAUCUUUUUACAAUAACGUUUUUACUUUGUUUAUAUUUUACAGAUAGAUUGUUUAGUGGUAAAAGAUAAACAAUUCAGUUUGGCAUAACCUCCCAAAGACCUUGCAAUGUAAAUCCAUCUUUCAGCUUCUCUAUUGCCAAACCAAGCUCGGGGUUGUAGACAGGUUCUCGGUCUUUCGACUAACGAACAAAAACACAGUCUGAACAUCACCAAAAUAGUUUUUAAUACAAUUCCCAUUAUAAACUUUACUUUAAAACUAGGCAAGGAGGAUGCAAAUAAAUCACCAUAGCUAUAGAAAAAGCAUACUAAAA